rnacentral:rRNA from 1 species
GGACUGAGACACGGCCCAGACUCCUACGGGAGGCAGCAGUGGGGAAUAUUGCACAAUGGGCGAAAGCCUGAUGCAGCGACGCCGCGUGCGGGAUGACGGCCUUCGGGUUGUAAACCGCUUUUGAUCGGGAGCAAGCCUUCGGGUGAGUGUACCUUUCGAAUAAGCACCGGCUAACUACGUGCCAGCAGCCGCGGUAAUACGUAGGGUGCAAGCGUUAUCCGGAAUUAUUGGGCGUAAAGGGCUCGUAGGCGGUUCGUCGCGUCCGGUGUGAAAGUCCAUCGCUUAACGGUGGAUCUGCGCCGGGUACGGGCGGGCUGGAGUGCGGUAGGGGAGACUGGAAUUCCCGGUGUAACGGUGGAAUGUGUAGAUAUCGGGAAGAACACCAAUGGCGAAGGCAGGUCUCUGGGCCGUUACUGACGCUGAGGAGCGAAAGCGUGGGGAGCGAACAGGAUUAGAUACCCUGGUAGUCCACGCCGUAAACGGUGGAUGCUGGAUGUGGGGCCCGUUCCACGGGUUCCGUGUCGGAGCUAACGCGUUAAGCAUCCCGCCUGGGGAGUACGGCCGCAAGGCUAAAACUCAAAGAAAUUGACGGGGGCCCGCACAAGCGGCGGAGCAUGCGGAUUAAUUCGAUGCAACGCGAAGAACCUUACCUGGGCUUGACAUGUUCCCGACAGCCGUAGAGAUAUGGCCUCCCUUCGGGGCGGGUUCACAGGUGGUGCAUGGUCGUCGUCAGCUCGUGUCGUGAGAUGUUGGGUUAAGUCCCGCAACGAGCGCAACCCUCGCCCUGUGUUGCCAGCACGUCAUGGUGGGAACUCACGGGGGACCGCCGGGGUCAACUCGGAGGAAGGUGGGGAUGACGUCAGAUCAUCAUGCCCCUUACGUCCAGGGCUUCACGCAUGCUACAAUGGCCGGUACAACGGGAUGCGACACGGCGACGUGGAGCGGAUCCCUGAAAACCGGUCUCAGUUCGGAUUGGAGUCUGCAACCCGACUCCAUGAAGGCGGAGUCGCUAGUAAUCGCGGAUCAGCAACGCCGCGGUGAAUGCGUUCCCGGGCCUUGUACACACCGCCCGUCAAGUCAUGAAAGUGGGUAGCACCCGAAGCCGGUGGCCUAACCCUUUGUGGAUGGAGCCGUCUAAGGUGAGACUCGUGAUUGGGACUAAGUCGUAACAAGGUAGCCGUACCGGAAGGUGCGGCUG